CUACGGGUUGCAGCAGUGGGGAAUAUUGCACAAUGGAGGAAACUCUGAUGCAGCAACGCCGCGUGGAGGAUGACACUUUUCGGAGCGUAAACUCCUUUUAUAUAGGAAGAAGAUGACGGUACUAUAUGAAUAAGCGCCGGCUAACUCCGUGCCAGCAGCCGCGGUAAUACGGAGGGCGCAAGCGUUACUCGGAAUCACUGGGCGUAAAGAGCGUGUAGGCGGAUUAAAAAGUCAGAAGUGAAAUCCUAUAGCUUAACUAUAGAACUGCUUCUGAAACUCUUAAUCUAGAAUGUGGGAGAGGUAGAUGGAAUUUCUUGUGUAGGGGUAAAAUCCGUAGAGAUCAGAAGGAAUACCGAUUGCGAAGGCGAUCUACUAGAACAUUAUUGACGCUGAGACGCGAAAGCGUGGGGAGCAAACAGGAUUAGAUACCCGCGUAGUC
rnacentral:rRNA from 1 species